rnacentral:rRNA from 1 species
AUUGAACGCUGGCGGCAUGCCUUACACAUGCAAGUCGAACGGUAACGGGCCUUCGGGCGCCGACGAGUGGCGAACGGGUGAGUAAUGCAUCGGAACGUACCUUUCAGUGGGGGAUAACGUAGCGAAAGUUACGCUAAUACCGCAUAUUCUGUGAGCAGGAAAGCAGGGGAUCGCAAGACCUUGCGCUGAUUGAGCGGCCGAUGUCAGAUUAGCUAGUUGGUGAGGUAAAGGCUCACCAAGGCGACGAUCUGUAGCGGGUCUGAGAGGAUGAUCCGCCACACUGGAACUGAGACACGGUCCAGACUCCUACGGGAGGCAGCAGUGGGGGAAUUUUGGACAAUGGGGGCAACCCUGAUCCAGCCAUGCCGCGUGAGUGAAGAAGGCCUCGGUUGUAAG